CACUUCUCAUAGGACAUCUGGUUGAGUCUAUCGAACAUGAGCCAUCUGGUCACAUCUCAGCGUGGAGGAUCUGAGCAGCAGCAGUAGCAGGAAACAGCUCCAUGCAUGUGAAUGAAGAUGUUUAUAUGUGACGAGACUGAAGCUCGACUUGUCAUCUCUAAGUGCACGUAGCUGUGGAUUCCUAGAACUGGGCAGCCCUGCUCUACAGUGCGACAACAUGAAGGCCAGCAGUCAUUGGACAACAGGGAGAAAGGAGUUCAGCACCUGUGAAGCAAAGCCAAGAAGUGGCACCUGCAGGCUGGCAGAGCUAUCGCUGGUCCUGAAGCUGAGAGACAGGGUUCCCAGGAACAUCUUGACCGAGUUCCCCGCUUCCACGACACCACGGUGGCAGGUGCCGAACAUCUCCUGGUCACCUGUGAUGUAUCAAAUCCACAAAUAUCUCUGGAGAAACACCUCUGAAGG
rnacentral:lncRNA from 1 species